rnacentral:rRNA from 1 species
GGGGCAUGCGAGGGCUGUCGCUGACUCAAAGUCGUGCACGCCCGAGUGUGUCGCCUCACAUAAUAAUCCAUCUCACCCUUUGUGCAUCACCGCGUGGGCACCCCUUUGGGAUCAUCUCGGAGGGGGCUCGCGUUUUCACACAAAACCCCCCUUUUAAAAGUGUAGAAUGACCUCAUUUAUGCGUUAACCCGCAAUCAAUACAACUUUCAACAACGGAUCUCUUGGCUCUCGUAUCGAUGAAGAACGCAGCGAAAUGCGAUACGUAAUGUGAAUUGCAGAAUUCAGUGAAUCAUCGAAUCUUUGAACGCACCUUGCGCCCCCUGGUAUUCCGAGGGGCACACCCGUUUGAGUGUCGUGAAAACCUCAACCUCCUUGGUUUCUUCUGGAGACCAAAGCAGGCUUGGACUUUGGAGACCUUUGCUGGCACCUCUCGCCAGCUCCUCUUAAAUGAAUUAGCAGGGUCCUCUUUGCUGAUCCUCGACGUGUGAUAAGAUGUUUCCAUGUCUUGGUUUCUGGCUCUGUCACCUUUGGGACCCGCUUCUAACCGUCUUCAACCUUGCGUUGAGACAACGUUCGAGCAUGUCUCCCUUCUCGGGAAGCUCCCUCGACCCCACGAACCCUUGA